GAUGAAGAACGCAGCGAAAUGCGAUAAGUAAUGUGAAUUGCAGAAUUCAGUGAAUCAUCGAAUCUUUGAACGCACCUUGCACUCCUUGGUAUUCCGAGGAGUACGCCUGUUCGAGUGUUAUGAAGCUCUCAAAACGCAAUUGGCUUAAAACCUGAUUGUUGUUUUGGAUUUGAACUUUGCCGUGUUAUAACGGCUGGUUUUAAAAGUAUUAGCUGGUACUAGAACGAAUUGGUUCUACUCAACGUGAUAAUUAUCUGAUCGUUGAGGACAUUCCUUUCACGAGGAAUGGCCAUAGUAAAUUCAAUGGACUGCUUCUAAUCUGGCUAUAAUUCUUUAUUGGAUUAACCACUUUUCAAAUCUGACCUCGAAUCAGGUGGGACUACCCGCUGAACUUAAGCAUAUCAAUAAGCGGAGGA
rnacentral:misc_RNA from 1 species